rnacentral:rRNA from 1 species
CCUACGGGAGGCAGCAGUGAGGAAUAUUGGUCAAUGGCCGAGAGGCUGAACCAGCCAAGUAGCGUGAGGGAUGAAUGCCCUAUGGAUUGUAAACCUCUUUUGUCAGGGAGUAAAGUGACCCACGUGUGGGUGUUGGAGUGUACUUGAAGAAAAAGCAUCGGCUAACUCCGUGCCAGCAGCCGCGGUAAUACGGAGGAUUCAAGCCUUAUCCGGAUUUAUUUGGUUUAAAGGGAGCGCAGGUGGGUUGUUAAGGCGGGGGUGAAAGAUCCAGGCUCAACCUUAUAAUAGCCAUUGAUACUGGCAGUCUUGAGUACGCUUGAGGUAUGCGGAAUGCGUGGUGUAGCGGUGAAAUGCUUAGAUUUCACGCAGAACGCCGAUUGCGAAGGCAGCAUACUAGCGCCCAACUGACGUUGAGGCACGAAAGUGUGGGUAUCGAACAGGAUUAGAUACCCCAGUAGUC